rnacentral:misc_RNA from 1 species
AUUGUUAAUAUAGUUAGCCUCAUUGUAGAUAAUCGCUUAGUAUUGAAGGUAUACUAUAUGAGAUGAGGUUGAAGAUUUACACCAUGCCAUAAUACGAGAGCUAAAGACAACUGUUUCGCAGUACUCACUUACUUACGAGAGAACAACCUUUCACCAGAAAGGCCAGCGCGAAUCACUUUCGAGGUUUUUAAAUCGAGCCGGGUCUUGACCAAGUCAUGGGAAGCUCCGAGAUAAUUACAUGGAUACGCUACACCAUGUUCAACACAAUCGCGGUGCAACGUGUGGAGUCCAAGAUCGUAUCGAUUCUCACCUUACGGUAUCAGCGGACCCGCUUUCCCCCCCGACUGUGGAGAACCUAACGGCAACCGGAGUUCUUUUGCCAACGUUGGAGAAAAGCUUCGCCUUCGUAUACUUUGUGAUAUUAUGAGUUACUUCGAAGUAACCAGACGCACCUG